rnacentral:rRNA from 1 species
UGCCUUCGUGCACUAGCUAGCGGCGGACGGGUGAGUAACACGUAGGCAACCUGCCUGUAAGACCGGGAUAACUACCGGAAACGGUAGCUAAGACCGGAUAAGUGAUCUUCUCGCAUGAGAGGAUCAAGAAACACGGGGCAACCUGUGGCUUACAGAUGGGCCUGCGGCGCAUUAGCUAGUUGGUGGGGUAACGGCUCACCAAGGCGACGAUGCGUAGCCGACCUGAGAGGGUGAUCGGCCACACUGGGACUGAGACACGGCCCAGACUCCUACGGGAGGCAGCAGUAGGGAAUCUUCCGCAAUGGACGCAAGUCUGACGGAGCAACGCCGCGUGAGUGAUGAAGGUUUUCGGAUCGUAAAGCUCUGUGCUGUAGUGAUAGAGGCGUACGCAGAGACUGAUCUACAUCUGACG